rnacentral:rRNA from 1 species
GAUGAACGCUAGCGGCAGGCCUAAUACAUGCAAGUCGAACGGUAAAUAUUGUAGCAAUACGAUAUGAGAGUGACGUACGGGUGCGUAACACGUAUGCAACCUACCCAAAACUGGAGUAUAGCUCGGGGAAACCCGAAUUAACCCUUCAUAGUAUCACUGGAUGGCAUCAUUUGGUGAUUAAAACUCAGGUGGUUUUGGAUGGGCAUGCGUCUGAUUAGCUAGUUGGCGGGGUAAAGGCCCACCAAGGCGAUGAUCAGUAGGGGAACUGAGAGGUUGAUCCCGCACACAGGCACUGAGAUACGGGCCAGACUCCUACGGGAGGCAGCAGUAGGGAAUAUUGGUCAAUGGAUGCAAGUCUGAACCAGCCAUGCCGCGUGCAGGAAGAAGGCCUUCUGGGUUGUAAACUGCUUUUGCCAGAGGAUAAAAUGGGCGUGCGCGCCUAAUUGAAGGUACCUGGUGAAUAAGCCACGGCUAACUACGUGCCAGCCGCCGCCGUAA